rnacentral:rRNA from 1 species
UACAGAGGUGGCAAGCGUUGUUCGGAAUUACUGGGCGUAAAGGGCGCGUAGGCGGUUCGUUAAGUCCUGUGUGAAAUCCCCCGGCUCAACUGGGGAACUGCACAGGAAACUAGCGGGCUUGAGUUCGGGAGAGGGAAGCGGAAUUCCGGGUGUAGCGGUGAAAUGCGUAGAUAUCCGGAGGAACACCGGUGGCGAAGGCGGCUUCCUGGACCGACACUGACGCUGAGGCGCGAAAGCUAGGGGAUCAAACGGG